CCGCAGCAUGUGGGCUCUUGCCGGACCGGGGCACGAACUCGUGUCCCCUGCAUCGGCAGGCGGACUCUCAACCACUGCACCACCAGGGAAACCCCUUGUGCUCUUAUUUAAUCGGCAUUUCCUCAGACUCCGGAGCAAUCAUUUCCAUCAUUCAGCUUCCUCUGCUCCCAGGUUCCCCCGGGGAGUGCUUCCUCAAUAAAUCAUGGGCACAUGAAUCCUUAUCUCAGGCUCUGCUUCCAGGAGACCAGACCUAGGAUGGUGACCCUACCCACUGAUUCAGCUACUUCUAUCUUUGCUCUGGCUGUGCCCCAUCCUGGACUUCUCUGACGGCGAUACUUUGGGGGCCAGAAAGGUCCAGAAAGGUUCUGUAGCCACCAAAGUGGCAAAAAAGCAUCGUGUGUAAGGACUCAGUAAAUCAGUAACUGUUGCACCCCUGUUGGACU